UGUGUACGUGUGUGUGUGUGUGUGUGUGUGUGCGCGCGCACACACGCACACACACACAUAUGCACAAG